CCAUGAAGCUGGAAUUGCUAGUAAUGGCAGGUCAGCAUACUGCCGUGAAUACGUUCCCGGGCCUUGUACACACCGCCCGUCACACCAUGAGAGUUGGAAAUACCCGAAGCCUGUGAGCUAACUUAAAGAGGCAGCAGUCGAAGGUAGAGCCAAUGAUUGGGGGUGAAGUCGUAACAAGGUAGC
rnacentral:rRNA from 1 species